UACGAAGGGGGCUAGCGUUGCUCGGAAUCACUGGGCGUAAAGCGCACGUAGGCGGCUUUUUAAGUCAGAGGUGAAAUCCUGGAGCUCAACUCCAGAACUGCCUUUGAUACUGGAGAGCUUGAGUCCGGGGAGAGGUGAGUGGAACUGCGAGUGUAGAGGUGAAAUUCGUAGAUAUUCGCAAGAACACCAGUGGCGAAGGCGGCUCACUGGCCCGGUACUGACGCUGAGGUGCGAAAGCGUGGGGAGCAAACAGG
rnacentral:rRNA from 1 species